rnacentral:rRNA from 1 species
GUCGAGGGGUAACAUGAAGUGCUUGCACUUCGAUGACGACCGGCGCACGGGUGCGCACCGCGUAUGGAACCUACCUUUUACGGGGGAAUAGCCCAGGGAAACUUGGAUUAAUGCCCCGUAGUACCUUUUGUAGCAUUACAAGACGGUUAAAGGCUUCGGCCGGUAGAAGAUGGCCAUGCGUCCCAUUAGUUAGUUGGUAAGGUAACGGCUUACCAAGACGGCGAUGGGUAGGGGCCCUGAGAGGGGGAUCCCCCACACUGGUACUGAGACACGGACCAGACUCCUACGGGAGGCAGCAGUGAGGAAUAUUGGACAAUGGAGGAGACUCUGAUCCAGCCAUGCCGCGUGCAGGAAGAAUGCCCUAUGGGUAGUAAACUGCUUUUAUACGGGAAGAAAAAGGGGUACGUGUACCCCACUGACGGUACCGUAAGAAUAAGGAUCGGCUAACUCCGUGCCAGCAGCCGCGGUAAUACGGAGGGUCCGAGCGUUAUCCGGAAUUAUUGGGUUUAAAGGGUCCGUAGGCGGGCGAUUAAGUCAGUGGUGAAAGUCUGCAGCUCAACUGUAGAACUGCCUUUGAUACUGAUCGUCUUGAGUUAUAGUGAAGUUGCCGGAAUAUGUAGUGUAGCGGUGAAAUGCAUAGAUAUUACAUAGAACACCGAUUGCGAAGGCAGGUGACUAACUAUAUACUGACGCUGAUGGACGAAAGCGUGGGGAGCGAACAGGAUUAGAUACCCUGGUAGUCCACGCCGUAAACGAUGGAUACUAGCUGUCCGGGACCUUGUCGAGGGGUCGGCCAAGC